rnacentral:rRNA from 1 species
UCGGGAAUUUUGGGCAAUGGGCGAAAGCCUGACCCAGCAACGCCGCGUGAAGGAUGAAGUAUUUCGGUAUGUAAACUUCGUAAGAAUAGGAAGAAUAAAUGACGGUACUAUUUGUAAGGUCCGGCUAACUACGUGCCAGCAGCCGCGGUAAUACGUAGGGACCAAGCGUUGUUCGGAUUUACUGGGCGUAAAGGGCGCGUAGGCGGUGUGUCAAGUCAGUUGUGAAAUCUCCGAGCUUAACUCGGAACGGUCAACUGAUACUGUCACACUAGAGUACAGAAGGGGCAAUCGGAAUUCUUGGUGUAGCGGUGAAAUGCGUAGAUAUCAAGAGGAACACCUGAGGCGAAGGCGGCCACCUGGACUGAUACUGACACUGAGGUGCGAAAGCGUGGGGAGCAAACAGGAUUAGAUACCCCAGUAGUCCCUGAGCGGGCUGGCAAGGCGCAU